GACUCGGUGGUGAAGGGUAUCGCAUCCGCUGCAUGUACCGUGUGCUCCAAUAUAAUUUCCGCGGAAGUCGCCCGUUCGAUUCGGGCCUGAGUCA